rnacentral:rRNA from 1 species
AGAGUUUGAUCAUGGCUCAGAUUGAACGCUGGCGGCAGGCCUAACACAUGCAAGUCGAACGGUAACAGGAAACAGCUUGCUGUUUCGCUGACGAGUGGCGGACGGGUGAGUAAUGUCUGGGAAACUGCCUGAUGGAGGGGGAUAACUACUGGAAACGGUAGCUAAUACCGCAUAACGUCGCAAGACCAAAGAGGGGGACCUUCGGGCCUCUUGCCAUCAGAUGUGCCCAGAUGGGAUUAGCUAGUAGGUGGGGUAACGGCUCACCUAGGCGACGAUCCCUAGCUGGUCUGAGAGGAUGACCAGCCACACUGGAACUGAGACACGGUCCAGACUCCUACGGGAGGCAGCAGUGGGAAAUAUUGCACAAUGGGCGCAAGCCUGAUGCAGCCAUGCCGCGUGUAUGAAGAAGGCCUUCGGGUUGUAAAGUACUUUCAGCGGGGAGGAAGGGAGUAAAGUUAAUACCUUUGCUCAUUGACGUUACCCGCAGAAGAAGCACCGGCUAACUCCGUGCCAGCAGCCGCGGUAAUACGGAGGGUGCAAGCGUUAAUCGGAAUUACUGGGCGUAAAGCGCACGCAGGCGGUUUGUUAAGUCAGAUGUGAAAUCCCCGGGCUCAACCUGGGAACUGCAUCUGAUACUGGCAAGCUUGAGUCUCGUAGAGGGGGGUAGAAUUCCAGGUGUAGCGGUGAAAUGCGUAGAGAUCUGGAGGAAUACCGGUGGCGAAGGCGGCCCCCUGGACGAAGACUGACGCUCAGGUGCGAAAGCGUGGGGAGCAAACAGGAUUAGAUACCCUGGUAGUCCACGCCGUAAACGAUGUCGACUUGGAGGUUGUGCCCUUGAGGCGUGGCUUCCGGAGCUAACGCGCUAAGUCGACCGCCUGGGGAGUACGGCCGCAAGGUUAAAACUCAAAUGAAUUGACGGGGGCCCGCACAAGCGGUGGAGCAUGUGGUUUAAUUCGAUGCAACGCGAAGAACCUUACCUGGUCUUGACAUCCACGGAAGUUUUCAGAGAUGAGAAUGUGCCUUCGGGAACCGUGAGACAGGUGCUGCAUGGCUGUCGUCAGCUCGUGUUGUGAAAUGUUGGGUUAAGUCCCGCAACGAGCGCAACCCUUAUCCUUUGUUGCCAGCGGUCCGGCCGGGAACUCAAAGGAGACUGCCAGUGAUAAACUGGAGGAAGGUGGGGAUGACGUCAAGUCAUCAUGGCCCUUACGACCAGGGCUACACACGUGCUACAAUGGCGCAUACAAAGAGAAGCGACCUCGCGAGAGCAAGCGGACCUCAUAAAGUGCGUCGUAGUCCGGAUUGGAGUCUGCAACUCGACUCCAUGAAGUCGGAAUCGCUAGUAAUCGUGGAUCAGAAUGCCACGGUGAAUACGUUCCCGGGCCUUGUACACACCGCCCGUCACACCAUGGGAGUGGGUUGCAAAAGAAGUAGGUAGCUUAACCUUCGGGAGGGCGCUUACCACUUUGUGAUUCAUGACUGGGGUGAAGUCGUAACAAGGUAACCGUAUGGGAACCUGCGGUUG